AGAUUGAACGCUGGCGGCAGGCCUAACACAUGCAAGUCGAGCGGUAGAGAGGUGCUUGCAUCUCUUGAGAGCGGCGGACGGGUGAGUAAUGCCUAGGAAUCUGCCUAGUGGUGGGGGAUAACGUUCGGAAACGGACGCUAAUACCGCAUACGUCCUACGGGAGAAAGCGGGGGACCUUCGGGCCUCGCGCCAUUAGAUGAGCCUAGGUCGGAUUAGCUAGUUGGUGAGGUAAUGGCUCACCAAGGCGACGAUCCGUAACUGGUCUGAGAGGAUGAUCAGUCACACUGGAACUGAGACACGGUCCAGACUCCUACGGGAGGCAGCAGUGGGGAAUAUUGGACAAUGGGCGAAAGCCUGAUCCAGCCAUGCCGCGUGUGUGAAGAAGGUCUUCGGAUUGUAAAGCACUUUAAGUUGGAAGGAAGGUUUGUAAACCUAAUACGUUGACAACUUUGACGCUACGACAGAAUAAGCACCGCUAACUUCGUGCCAGCAG
rnacentral:rRNA from 1 species